rnacentral:rRNA from 1 species
GGAGGGUGCAAGCGUUGUCCGGAUUUAUUGGGUUUAAAGGGUGCGUAGGUGGUCUGUUAAGUCUGGCCUGAAAGCGGGUGGCUCAACCAUUCGACUGGGUUGGAAACUGGGGGACUUGAACGGAUUGGCGGUAGCCGGAACGGGUCAUGUAGCGGUGAAAUGCAUAGAUAUGACCCAGAACUCCGAUUGCGAAGGCAGGCUACUACGAUCGGAUUGACACUGAGGCACGAGAGCAUGGGGAGCGAACAGGAUUAGAUACCCUGGUAGUCCAUGCCGUAAACGAUGAUCACUGGCUGUUUGAGAGUUAUUCUGAGUGGCUGAGCGAAAGCGUUAAGUGAUCCACCUGGGGAGUACGCCGGCAACGGUG